UUUUGCCCCAUUAAAGUUAGACAAACAUCUAACAUCCUCUGACCAAGAAAAUGAGAGAAAAGUAAGUGGUGUCACCUGUGACCUAAAGCAUAGAAGAAAGGGCCUGAGCACCAUUCUUUCUUCUCUUCUUUGCCCUGCUAAAGCUGGAAGGCUCUUUUGCAAGAGCAGCAGGGGCUUGUGGUCUCCCUCCUCUACUGUUGGACUAAAACGCACCUCGUUCACCGUCUUCUCGCAAAGAAACCGUGAUUGGUCUUCUAGAGGUGAUCAUGGCUAACACUUGGUUGUGCUCUGGUAGAAUACAACCAUUCUCCCCGAUCUGUCCAGUUUCUGCAGAGGCCAGACUGCCAAUCAAGUCUUUGACAGCAGCUGGAUGUCCUACAAUUCAACUCAAUUCUGAUACAGUCUACCUGAGGGCAGCUUCAGAUUCUGAGGUUAUGGACUCAAUCCCAUAAGACUGCCUCCCCUGCUAACUCCUAGCAAGCCCAGGCCAUCCUGUUCUUUGACCAACCAGAUAGAGAUUGGAGGUUCUAACCCCUUCAACUUUGAGUUUGGUUAAUUUGCUAACGUGGCUCACAGAACUUAGAAAAACACUUUGUUUACUGGAUCAACCACUGGUUAACUGUAAAAGGGUAUAACUCAAGAACAGCCAGUUAAAAGAGACACAUAGGGCAAAGCAUGGGGAAAGGUCUUGGAGUUUUCAUACUCUCUUCAUGUGUCCCAUUCUCCCCAAUCCUGAAGUGUUAACACCUAAAAACUCUUUGAACUCUGUUCUUUAGGGUUUUUAUGGUGCUUUCAUUACAAAGGGCUGUGUGUGUAUGUGCACACGCACACGCUCAGUUGCUCAAUUGUGUCCCCUAGGUAUGAUUGAUUAACUCACUGACUAUUCAUGAUUGAACUCAAUCUCCAAGGCCUCUCCUUUCCCCAGAGGCUAGGGGGUGGGACGGAAAAUUCCAAUCCUCUAAUCACACAGUUGGAUCAUCCAAAAAGCAAGA